CUCUGCUGGGUCUGGUUUGCACCGCAGCUUCACGGAUUGAUGAGAACAAACUGAAAAUGUUCAAGGAAUUACUUCAGGAAGCAGAACAAGCCCUGGACAUAGUGAAGGCACAAAGCGACACCGACUUUGAGCUCCUUUAUGGAUGGAUGAUGGAUAAUGUGGAGUCCCAUGAAGAGAUUUUGAAAUUCGAAAAGUAUCUGAGAGCACACAAGACAUUUCUCCAAGCCCUGGAGGAGUACCAUGCUGAAUUGUAACCUCCAUGUCAACCAGUGAUACUGCAUCUAUUGUAUCUGGGAGGUUUCCAUUUCUCACUGAGCUGCUCCAUCUUAACUUUGCAAUACACUGGCUUAGAAAUCAUGAAUUUCUGUAAUUGAAAAUAGGUUAUC